rnacentral:rRNA from 1 species
AACGAACGCUGGCGGCAGGCCUAACACAUGCAAGUCGAACGCUCCGCAAGGGAGUGGCGCACGGGUGAGUAACACGUGGGAACCUACCUUCUGGUACGGAACAACCAAGGGAAACUUUGGCUAAGACCGUAUACGACCUCCGGGUGAAAGAUUGAUCGCCGGAAGAGGGGCCCGCGUCCGAUUAGGUAGUUGGUGAGGUAACGGCUCACCAAGCCUUCGAUCGGUAGCUGGUCUGAGAGGAUGACCAGCCACACUGGGACUGAGACACGGCCCAGACUCCUACGGGAGGCAGCAGUGGGGAAUAUUGGACAAUGGGCGCAAGCCUGAUCCAGCCAUGCCGCGUGAGUGAUGAAGGCCUUGGUU